CAUAUCCUUAAAGAAAAAUUUCUGUUGGCAAGAUUGCCAAUGUUUUGGAAAAAUAAAAUAAGGAAGGAUGGAAGUACCUGACGGCAUAUCGUUUUUAUAAAGUUUUGGAUUAUGGAAUUUUCCUGGCUUUUGAGCCUCACAAGACUUUGAGAUUUUAUGGAUAUGAAACCUGCUAUCAUUUAGCAUCCUGCCUCUGGGAAUAGAUGAAAACAUUUGGCCCAGUGGUGUUAAUUUGCUGCAUUAUUUAAGAAUAUUCUAUUUUAUCCAUUGAAAAUAAGAGAAAUUAAUAAGAAGCUGGACUGUACUGCUGCCAUCUCGGCUCACUGCAACCUCCCUGCCUGAUUCUCCUGCCUCAGCCUGCCCAGUGCCUGCGAUUGCAGGCGCGCGUCGCCACGCCUGACUGGUUUUCAUAUUUUUUGGGUGGAGACGGGGUUUCCCUGUGUUGGCCGGGCUGGUCUCCAGCUCCUAACCGCGAGUGAUCCGCCAGCCUCCGCCUCCCGAGGUGCCCGGAUUGCAGACGGAGUCUCCUUCACUCAGUGCUCAAUGGUGCCCAGGCUGGAGUGCAGUGGUGUGAUCUCGGCUCGCUACAACAUCCACCUCCCAGCAGCCUGCCUUGGCCUCCCAAAGUGCCGAGAUUGCAGCCUCUGCCCGGCCGCCACCCCGUCUGGGAAGUGAGGAGCGUCUCUGCCUGGCCGCCCAUCGUCUGGGAUGCGAGGAGCCCCUCUGCCUGGCUGCCCAGUCUGGAAAGUGAGGAGCAUCUCUGCCCAGCCGCCAUCCCAUCUAGGAAGUGAGGAGCGCCUCUUCCCGGCUGCCAUCCCAUCUAGGAAGUGAGGAGCGUCUCUGCCCGGCCGCCCAUCGUCUGAGAUGUGGGGAGUGCCUCUGCCCUGUCGCCCCGUCCGGGAUGUGAGGAGCGUCUCUGCCCGGCCGCCCCGUCUGAGAAGUGAGGAGACCCUCUGCCUGGCAACCGCCCUGUCUGAGAAGUGAGGAGCCCCUCCGCCCA
rnacentral:lncRNA from 10 species